AGCAGCCGCGGUAAUUCCAGCUCCAAUAGCGUAUAUUAAAGUUGUUGCAGUUAAAAGCUCGUAGUUGAAUUUCGGGGUUAGUAGGUUGGUCAUGCCUCUGGUAUGUACUGGUCUCACUGAUUCCUCCUUCCUGAUGAGCCGUAAUACCAUUAAUUUGGUGUUGCGGGGAAUUUGGACUGUUACUUUGAAAAAUUGAGUGUUUAAAGCAAGCUAACGCUUGAAUACAUUAGCAUGGAAUAAUGAAAUAGGACGUUCGAUCCUAUUUUGUUGGUUUCUAGGAUUGACGUAAUGAUUAAUAGGGAUAGUUGGGGGCAUUAGUAUUCAAUUGUCAGAGGUGAAAUUCUUGGAUUUAUUGAAGACUAACUACUGCGAAAGCAUUUGCCAAGGAUGUUUUCAUUAAUCAAGAACGAAAGUUAGGGAUCGAAGACGAUCAGAUACCGUCGUAGUCUUAACCAUAAACUAUGCCGACUAGGGAUCGGAUGAUGUUAAUUUUUUAAUGUACUCUUUCGGCGCCUUAACC
rnacentral:misc_RNA from 1 species